rnacentral:rRNA from 1 species
UACGGAGGGUGCAAGCGUUAUCCGGAUUCACUGGGUUUAAAGGGUGCGUAGGAGGGCAGGUAAGUCAGUGGUGAAAUCUCCAAGCUUAACUUGGAAACUGCCGUUGAUACUAUCUGUCUUGAAUACCGUGGAGGUGAGCGGAAUAUGUCAUGUAGCGGUGAAAUGCUUAGAUAUGACAUAGAACACCAAUUGCGAAGGCAGCUCGCUACACGAAUAUUGACUCUGAGGCACGAAAGUGUGGGGAUCAAACAGG